CUGAGAAUUCGGAUGCAGGUGGCGCUGAGAUAAUCGAACAGCAGACGAAGCUGGAUUGAAAGCCGAAAUCACUCAGCUGUUUAACCAAUCACGCUGAUCAGAUUUGUGAGUCUGGGUUUCAAUUAUGUUUAAUGAGGUUAUAAAGAAAAGAUACCAUUUAAUAGUCAAGUACAUCCUGACAGCCAGCCAACAGGCUAUAAAUCUCCAAAACUGAUCCCACUCUGCUUAUGAGUAAACCUAAGAACUUAAAUUCAACAUUAAUGAUUGAAAAGUCGACAACUUAAAAACAUCAGAUCAAUUGAAUAUGAAAAGUAAUUUGGGAUGAUGUCGUUUAUGAAGUUGAAAAUUUAUAAACUGAGAUCUGCCUUCAAUAAAGGGGCAGCCAUAUGGGACAGCCAUAGCAAAUGACAAACUGAAGACUGACAACUCUGAAAAGAUGAAGAACAUUCCAUUCAGGUUUGCAGCAAAUUGGUACAUCAAAUCCCUGUUUCUGAAGAACUUUACAUGUGGCAAGCAUAAGCUUUUUUGGAUUAGCGCAGAGAGCUCCUAUAUCUCUGUGCCUCAGGAUUAUCCAGUUAAAGUGUUUUUAUAUUUAAUUGCUUUGCUGACACCUUUAUCCAGAAAGAUUCACAGUUUAUAUCUGUUUAUACAACCAGACAUUUUACUGGAGGUGUUCAAGAUAAGUACCUCGCCCAAUAGCGUAGCAGCACGCCCAAACUGAGACACCACCCGCAAAACAAAUUGCAAUCAUGGGGCAGAACUGUUGCCUUGUUACUCAACCCAGCUAAUCCUUCCCUGUCGAGCCUCACCUGUGACUCAUCCUGAGGGGAGGACUGGACUGCAUUAAGCACACCUCUCCAGCUAACUGGGGCAGAGAAGGAACCAGGCUGGACAGAGGCUGACACAGAGCUGGUUUGGGUUGUUUUCUUUCACAAUAUGUAAAUAAACACCGGUUGUGUAGCUGCCUUUUUGUCUGAGUGAGUGUUCCUGAGUCCCCGCUAGGCACUCCAGCUGGGGUGGGGCAGCACUGGCCUAGGGCUUCUGCCGCGUUGGUGGAGAAUGCAGGCACCAGCCCGGCCUCGCUGGGUGUUGUUAGGCCCUCGGCAACUGCUUGUUGCCAGUGCUGCCCUGUUGAUAAGGUCGUGUGUGACGUUCAGUAUUUGGGUUAAUUUUCACAUCUGUUUCUGCUUGUGAGUAAUAAGGGACUGAAACCUGGACCAGGAAAACACCAAGAAGAGCCCAGUAGGCAGUCAGCCGACAGCAGACUGAUUCUUCGACCGGUUGGAUCUCUUCUACCGGGCGGUGGAGCAAUGGGCAGGGACAUGCAGCCCAUCCUUGAAGUUGAAGGUUUGACUUGAGUUGCUGUGCAGUCCGAAGAGGCGGCAGAUGGGGACCCUGGAGCUUGCAUGGUGCGUUUGGUGUGGGGAACCCAGAUACCACCCACAACACUGCGGCUACAUGGAGCCAGGGUUCUGCUAUUGCUAUGAUGAACUUGUGGAGACCAGGCCAGAGAACCUUGUGUGUGGGGAAUGUCCUCCCUCCUUUCCUGUUCCUGCAGUGCCUACUGAUUCCCCAGCACCACUCACUGUCCUGGAGACUGUUCCUGUGGUGCCUCCUGGCCUUCUGAUGCCUCCUGGCCCUCUCGAAUUACCCCCUGUCCCAGAGUCCAUUGCUACUGCACUGCCUGGCCCUCCGGUGUCAUCCAGUAACCCAGAGGCCAUUCCUCUGGUGCCUCCUGAUCCUCCGGUGCCACCUCUCACCCUGGAGUUAGUCCCUGCUGCAUCACCUGACCCUCUGGUGCCGCCGGCUGCCCCGGGGGUCAUUUGCACAGCACUGCCUGGCCUUCUGGUGCCCUGGUGGAUGCUUGGGAGCUGUCCUGCUUGGUUGUGGUGCCCUCUCCACCUUGCCCUUCUUCUGGGUGCCCAGCAAUAGGGACUUGCUGGGUCUUUCACCCUGGUGGCUGUGCUCGAAAGGGGAGGGGGGCUUAUUGUAGUAUGGAAUGGAGCUGCUGCCUUGUUACUCAACCCAGCUGAUCCUUCCCUGCCGAGCCUCACCUGUGACUCAUCCUGAGGGGAGGACUGGACUGCAUUAAGCGCACCUCUCCAGCUAACUGGGGCAGAGAAGGAACCAGGCUGGACAGAGACUGACACAGAGCUGGUUUGGGUUGUUUUCUUUCACAAUAUGUAAAUAAACACCGGUUGUGCAGCUGCCCUUU